rnacentral:rRNA from 1 species
AGAGUUUGAUCCUGGCUCAGAACGAACGCUGGCGGCGUGCUUAACACAUGCAAGUCGCGUGCGCAGUUGCCGUAGCAAUACGGUGAUGGGCGCACGGCGCACGGGUGCGUAACACGUGGGCAAUCUGCCCUCCGAUGGGGAAUAACCCCGCGAAAGCGGGGCUAAUACCGCAUAACAUUCCUUGGACGAUGGUCUGGGGA